rnacentral:rRNA from 1 species
GAUGAACGCUGGCGGCGUGCCUAAUACAUGCAAGUCGAGCGAACAGACGAGGAGCUUGCUCCUCUGACGUUAGCGGCGGACGGGUGAGUAACACGUGGAUAACCUACCUAUAAGACUGGGAUAACUUCGGGAAACCGGAGCUAAUACCGGAUAAUAUAUUGAACCGCAUGGUUCAAUAGUGAAAGACGGUUUUGCUGUCACUUAUAGAUGGAUCCGCGCCGCAUUAGCUAGUUGGUAAGGUAACGGCUUACCAAGGCGACGAUGCGUAGCCGACCUGAGAGGGGGACCCCCCACACGGGACUGGGGACCCGCCCCACACCCUUGGGGGAGAAAACAGUAGGAAUUUCGCCGAAAGGGGGGAAAGCUGACGGGAGCAACGCCGGGGGAGUGAUAAUGGUUUUGUACUCUAAAACCUCUUUUUUUGGGAAAAAAAAAUGGUAAAAGAACCUAUCCCCUUUUUGACGGCACUAAACAAGAAGCCCCGGCAUAACUCCGUC